AUGAUUGUCCUUAUAACAGAACAGAGAGGUGGAGAGAAAAUAAAAAAUAAAUGUAAAAAACUCCAGAAUAAACCAUGGACAAAUGAGUCACGCUGACAAGUGAAGAAUAGGGGCAUUAUUUUCCUGUUAGUCUUUGUUAAAUGUUAUUUCCAUUACCGAAUUCAACUUUGAAAUUAAAAUUAAUUGCGAGUCUGGCUGGAUAAUGACAAGAUGAGUCAUGUUUGAAUUCAGGUUUCCACCUCCUCUAUCGAACAGCCUGCUCAACUCUAGCCAAGCUGUUUCUAUGAAAACGUUUAAAAUCAUUACCUCAGAAACGGCCGAGCCUCAUACAAUAAGCCUCAUGAAUAAAAUGGCCCUGAAAAACAUUCCACUAUCUGUUAAUCUUCAAAAUACCCCUAAAGUUAUCAGGAUGUAAAAAUAAAACCUGUUCGCUUCCCUUUCCUGUAUUGUAUAACUCACAAAGAAAACAGAUGGUCAGUAGUUCCAGCAUGUUCUUUACUCAGAAAACAGACUGACAAAAUGUUUUAGUAGAAAGUUAUUUUAAGCUUCUUAGUGGCUUUUCAUUGUACAAUUUACAAUUUAAAUGAGCAAAACUUUGGAUUAUGCCAUAUAGUGUACCAGCUCUGUGUCCAUAUGGCAUAUCGUGAAGCAUUCACGCCGAGACAAAGCAUAGCAGAACACAUUUAAUGUAAAAAUAGUCAUAAUCCAUGAUAUAGAAGAGCCAUAUACAGAACAUAAGUAAUGCUAGUCCAAAUUGAAUGAUUGGAGAAUGUGUGGGCUGUGGAAACCUACAGUACAAGUAGAACAGCAAGAUUACACUUUUAGUGCAGGUCUCGUUAUUCUAAAGCAGACUCAGAUUCAUAGACAUAGGAAUGGAUGAAAUAUAGAGCAUUGUCAAAACACUUCGCUGCUGUACGUUACAAAUAGUUAAUGAUCCUGAGCAAACAGAAUGUACAGGGUUUAUCAGCAUUGAUUAUGAGUACUGCUGAAGACGUGUGCUUAACUAAAAGACUAAAUUAUCAUUUGAAUAUUGAGUUUACAAUAGGACAUUUCAUAACAAUAUAAUAAUACACCAAGCUACUUGUCAAAGAAAAUAAUUUUUUGGAAGACAUUUGCAUAACGUAUUGCUGUGCAGAGGACGCAUCAUCCCUGAAAUGCAUCAAGCUCAUCAAACAAAAUCUGCUGGUUGAUACAUUUUCCUAUUUUCAUCAAAAGACAGAAGGCACAACAGUUUUUUUGGAGAGGGGGUGGUGUAAGGACUUUUGUAUAAUAAGUUACUGACAUGUCUGACAGUGUCAAGGAUUGGCUGAACUCGAUAGUGCUUUCUCUUGACAAAAAAAUAAAGAUUAGAUGAAAAAUGACCUAGAGAAACUUUUGCACAGCUGAAAAAGCCCAUGGAGCUCUUUUGAAAAUCCAAUAUUUUUUUCCAAUAUUUGAACAUUUCAUACCCUUUUCAACGUAAGGCCUGGAAGAAAUAAAUGGAGGACAAUCAGUUUUGAUGCAUUCACAAUAGCAAUGCUUUGUGGCUUUGAAGGAGCAUAAUGCCACGGAGAUGUGCGAGUGUAGCUGAAUGAACAGGGCAUUACACAGGUCAAACCAAUUCUUUUAGGAUUUCUGCACUUUAUUUGGUUCAUGGCUUAUUCAACAUGCUUGCUUGAACGGUUCUUAGAUGUUCUUUGUAUCGUGAACAAGAAAAACUGUUCUAUGCAAACCUCAUCUUAUAGUGAGACUAGUCGCAGACUCGUAACCACAACAUCUGCUUUGCAGGUGAAGGGUAUUUCUCAUGCUAUUUCUGAGUAGGGAAAAAGGCUUUCUUGAAUAUGACUGUGGUCAGUAAACAAAGGGUAAGUGAAAGUUCUUUUAAAUGUAUGUCAAAUUAUUCUCCUUUUGAAAUGCUGUCAGAGCUAGACUACAUCUAAGAAAGGCUUACUGGGCUAGUUGUGAUGCUUCAAUCAAACCCCACAAACACCUGCAGAGUGCAGACACACACAUACCACUCCGUAUGCAUUUAGGAUCUGUUUCUCACUAUUAGCAGCACCAGCUACUAAUUGAAUUUCAUCAACUUAAACAGAUUGGGACAAUUCUGAUUGAGUGAACCAGAUAACACAAAAUGAGAUGGAGGCGCUAAUUACACAGGUGUUUCUGUACAGCCUGGAGCCAAGCCCAUCCCCAGCUGAUGACAUCACAGCAGUAAGGUUGAGUGGAGAAAGACAGUGCGCAUGCUGUUUAGACAGACCCAGUUAUUUCAACACUACUUGAUCGUGGGUGUAAUUCACACACACUCACAACAACCCUUGUUCCCUCAUGAUAACGCAACAAAUGAAUAGCCCUGUCAUGCAGAAGCACAUAAUGUCCACCUCCCCCUCUCCUCUGACCCCUGCCUUUCUCUGUAAUGCAGAGUAAGAAAUAAGCCAGCCAGCACCUCGGCCCUAAAGCUUUUGUUCACGGGGCAUGAUUGAUUUCCAUUUAAAUGAAAGUAGAGCCAGGGAGCGAUCGUGGAGCGGCCCUGUACUCAGUAUGAAUGAAACAUGGGCAUGGUGGGUAUUUCCCCACUCACAUCCCACCCUACCUACCCCCACACUUUAUUUUAUCCUCUCUAUCCCCCGGUCCCCGUCCCCAUCCCCGUCCCUGUCCCAGCACUAUAAACCAUUCAAAUCAGACUUUCCUCAGCCAUCCGAGAGCAAUUUACAAUCGGUGAUGUGGUUGACGUUUUGAACAAAAGCAUUUCAAAAAGAAAAAGAGAAUGGGGGGAGUUGAAAAGAAAACAUCAUUCACUAAAGUUGAUUAAUUCUCCACCUCAAGUGAAUGUUCAAACAGACCUGACUGGCUUUUUCCACCCAUUUUUUUUCCUUUUUUCCCCUUCAGAGGUUGAGAAGAUGGGAGAGUUUUAUCUUUCAACUGUAUUUUCUGUUGUCACUAAGAGGCCAAGGACAGGAUAUGUCACAGAGUUGAAUGGGGAAAUUUAGAGAGGACUGGGUUGGUUUAGGGUGGAUUAAACUUGUUUUUCUCAUGCAAAAAAAGCCUGUUCUGAAUGCACCAAAUCAACUCUGAAUACAGUUUAGUUUAGUGAAGGAGCGGAGAAACCUGUCGGAACAAUUGCAAAUGACUUUUAGCAAUACUUGUUUUUCUUGAAAAAUAUGCCAUUGGACAAAAGGAGUUUGUCACAUUUGGUCACAUUCAUUGGCUUCAGGGUUUUUCAAUAGAAUCCAAUGACAAAACUUAGGUUCCAAAUGUUGCUAUGUGUCCCAAGCAUAAAGGGAUAAUCCGUAGUUGAAACAAUAAAGCGUUCUCUCCCUAUUUUGGUAAAAAACUGAGGGAUGGGGCCAGAGAAAUAUAACCAUUCUCAAAUUCAUAGGCUAUGAGCUAUGGAUGCAAAGACUGACUAUCCGUGAUAUCAAAAUCAUAGUUUUAACCAUGUUUUGAGGCUAUAUAGCAUUUGUUUAAACAUACUUUGUUUGCUAACAUUGGCAUAAAACAAGCUUAUGUUUUGGGUUCUGAUGGGGCACGACAGUUGAACUGAGGCAUAUAUAUUAUUCAAGAAUCAAUGAGUACAUCCAGAAAUGGAUUUAGCAACUGCAGAAUGCCCUUUUAAAUAUACACACAUACAUUGAGAUAUGUGGCACAAAAAUGAACAACAGACCAAAUAUAGGAAACUAAGUUACACUGGCUUUGGAGGGGACCCAUGACACAGUAACAGAUGGUCCCAGAGAGGAGAGCAGUAGGGAGUGGUUCAGUAAGAGCAGGCUGGGGUGGAAAGUGUUCCCUUCCUGAGUCAAAGGUCAGUGUGUUGUAGAGCUCCUCCCCUGCAGGUGUCCAAUUGGACUGGAGCUCAUCUUGUGGUUAGACCGUUCCUUUCAUUCCCUGUUCUGUAGGCACUGAGUAGAUCCUAAAGAAAGGAGAGAAGAGAAGAAUGAGAGAGGAAAAUGUACUAUACCAAUCCAAAAAACUGGUGGGACUUUACACAUCUGAAAUAUUAUUAAUUCACUACUAUAAAAUAUUAAAAACAUACGACAGUGAUAUUUAAUUCCUUGUUAAGAGUUUAUGGGGGAUAUAUCAAUUUAGAAACAUUGGAUGUCCUUGGGAAAUGUACAGACUACAGCAUAUAAACAUGACAUGUUUUGGAGAAUUGGGGAUUACAAUUUUUGAGAUCCUUCCCAUAAGACAGCCUGUUCACGUUCGCACAUGGAAAGCAGGUAGCUACAAUCCUUGUUUGUGGGAAUCCAGGAAAUGCAUGUCGGUUUAUAGCGCGCUGCAGGGGUUUGGCGUGCUACAUGGCGACUGCAUUACCUCCACACAUCCCCUCCCCAGGUGGGACUUAUGGCCUUGGCAAGUCUCCCUGUUGAUCCAACAAUCCGAGGGUUGCUGUGAGAAUAAGCCUCUUUUCAGCACACCUAUCACUCAACACACAACACAGCCAGAGCUAACUGCAGCCCUAGGAGCCAAGCGUUAAUCCUGCAGAGGAUUUUAACCCCUUUCUCUUUCUAAGCCUGCAUCAUCAGAUCUAUAGCGCCAAGGUGGCUACGUGCUAGGUAAACUCUCUAACCUCUAUCGUUGGCUAGGUCACGUAGCAUCUAGCAUGGGACAAAGGAAACUGAUUACUCUGCAGAACGCCAGCGCCCAGCACUCAGCACAGUUACACAACCCCAAAGACAGACCCAGAGAAAGAAAGAAAAAAAGAAAGAGACAGGUAGAGCUCUCAGUUACCCCCCCUUCCUCCCUCAGAGGCCCCAGGAGAAUGACUAACUGACUAUAUCUCACUGUCUGUUCAACUGGUUCAGGCUGUUCUCUGUGCUCUGAUUGUUGUUGUCAGAUAAUGUCAUCAUACCAUAGAGACAGAGCUGGGAUUUACUGCUCACUGUGCAAUGUGCUUCAUACACUAGAUUUCUAUAGAUGUGUUAUUCCUGCUCUGGGCUCUGGGAGCAGGUUGGGUCUUGCCCUGUAGGGGUCAUGAAGGGCAGACCGUUCUCUCUGGGUUAUUGUUAACAGUUGACAGGGUGGGGCGAGGUAGAGCAGUGGAGUGGGCUGGAUGGCUUCAGGCUGUGCAGGUAAUUGCAGCACAAGUCCAGACGGGCUCGACGGCUCAGCGGCUGGGUGGAUCUGCUCCUCCUGAUUGAGUUUCGCAACCUCAGCAAGAGUUUGUCUGGUUUUACAUGACGCUGGCAUUAUGCCGUAGUGGAGUAUGCUGCCAAGCCAGCGGUGUGGUGGAUGGACUGACUGUUACUCACUCGACUGGUUCUGUCGCUUCCUUCCAGCCAGGCAGGCGGGGGACUAAGUGGAACAUCUCUGAGAGACACUGAUUUCUAUUAUGUCUAUUAUCUAAAAGGCCUGUUCCUCUUAGGGAAAGUAAACACUCCGAGGGGAAUAACGUGGAGAGACAAGGCAGAGUGACUUACAGUUCAACGUGCUUUAAAAACUCUAAUUUAACUCAAUUUCCAUAACUGCUCAAUGGAAUCCCCCAUCGACAAAAAUUGCAGCCCUGAUGGUUUUAUCAGGAAGAUGGUGUCAGUGGAGGAAUUAGGGGUACUAGGUUACACUGAGACAAAAUAUGCACAACAUAUUGUAAGACUUUCAGUCAAACAGAGUGAAUGGAGACGUGUGGCCUUACCCUUGUGGUCGGUUGUGCAUGCGGCGCCGGACCAGCACUAUGGCUGAAACCAAACACAAAAGGGAAAAGGUCACCAUUUCCUCCUUGCCGCAAGAGAAUAGUUCACAUUUGCUUAAGUAUUAGAACUUACAUGACACCCUGGAAGUUGAGUAAAUCAGGUCAAGUACCUGACUCAGGGGCCUAACAGCCGUAGGCCUGCGAACUCACUGACUUCAACAAACCACUUUUCUAAAGGUUGCUACAUCUGGUCCCUGAUCAAACCAUCAGUAAUAAUGUGCCAGAUACAAGCCCUGUAAUGUGUUGUGAGGUGUGAAACGAGGUCUGCCAGUCAGGUAGCGUGUAUAUCUGGUCUGAUAUUGUCUCAGUCUUAUCUUGACCUUUAAUCCUUACCUACUAUCACUGCGAUUGACAGUGCCACCACACUCACGGCUACGAUGAUGACAAUGGUAGUAAAUCCAUCUGAGAGCAGAUAACACACGACAAAAGG
ensembl:lncRNA